UCUCUGCUUACAAAUCUAAAUAGUUUAUUCCAUAUUUAUAAAAAAGAAAUUGAGUUUGGUUCAUUU
rnacentral:tRNA from 11 species